rnacentral:lncRNA from 1 species
AAAGUAGUUGUUUUUGGUGGAGAUUUCAGACAAGUACUACCUGUGAUACAUGGUGCUUCGAGAGCAGAAAUUUGUAUGGCUGCACUUAAUGCUUCUUAUCUUUGGAAUCAUUGCAAAGUUCUGAAACUCACGAAAAAUAUGAGGCUACUUUCAAAGGAUUUGAGUCCAAGUGAGGCUAAGGAUAUAAAAGAAUUUUCAGAGUGGAUUCUAGCAGUUGGUGAUGGUAAGAUAGCACAGCCUAAUGAUGGAGAAGUGAUGAUAGAAAUUCCAAAAGAGUUUUUGAUCACAAACGCUGAUAAUCCAAUUGAGGCAAUAAGCAGGGAAGUUUAUGGAGAUCCUAAGUUAUUGAAGGAUGAAACCGAUCCUGUAUUUUUCCAACAAAGGGCUAUUUUAUGUCCUACCAAUGAAGAUGUGGGUAUUGUCAACGAUUAUAUGCUUGAUCAACUCGAAGGUUAGUCUCCACUACUCUUAAUAUUUUAGGCAUUUCAUUGAGAUAUGAUGUAUUAUAAAGACAUUUUAAAUUAUUUGUAGGUGAUGAACAACUAUACCUAAGUUCAGAUUCUGUUGAUCCUUCUGAUAUUGGAGGUACAAAUAAUCCCGUGUUGACAUCAGAGUUUUUGAACGGUCUAAAGAUAUCUGGAUUGCCAAAUCAUGGUAUAAGGUUGAAAGUUGGUUGUCCUGUGAUGUUACUACGAAAUUUAGAUCCAAGAGGAGGGCUAAUGAAUGGCACUAGACUGCAAAUAACACAAAUGGGUGAUAAAGUCAUUGAGGCUGUCAUUAUUACAGGUGAUAGAGUCGGAGAUAAAGUCCUCCUUCCCAGGAUAUUGAUAUCUCCAUCUGAUACUAAACUUCCUUUUAAAAUGCGUCGAAGACAACUUCCAAUAGCAGUUGCUUUUGCUAUGACCAUUAAUAAAAGCCAGGGACAAUCGUUGAAUAAGGUUGGCAUCUAUCUACCAAGGCCAUGCUUUUCUCAUGGCCAACUCUAUGUAGCUAUCUCAAGGGUAACUUCAAAAAAAGGACUGAAGAUACUCAUAGUGGACAAAGAAGGAAAGCCGCACAAGGAAACGUUGAAUGUGGUGUUUAAGGAAGUCUUUCAGAACCUAUAAGGUUACACAUUGCAAAAGACAUUUGGUUUAAGAGGUAACAAUCAAUAAAAACUGAUUAUUAUUUUCACCUGUUACACUUUACUAAUUUCUUAUUGGUUGUCUGAACAGGUAGAAGCUGGUAUGGAAAUGGAAAUUUGGUAGUAAUCUCUUCAAUCUACGACUUCCAUUGAAGAGAUUAUUUUACCAAACUUGGUCUGUUAUUCUCUCAAUUCUCUUUUAAUAAUAUAGAUUCAGAAAUUUUGAUUAUUAAUAUCAGCAUAACUUUGUUUUAAAUAAUUUUUCAUUUACAUUUAAAUCAUAUUAAGUACAAAAAGGUAAACUAUUAAAAGUUUACUAAUUCAAAAAACAUAUACAGAAUCUAAAUAUUCUGUUAAUUCAUAUAAACAAGUAGUAUUACUUUAAUAUCUUAUCAACCAAUUGCAGAAUUUAACAUACAUGUCAACAGAGAAUAUAGUAAAAUCAUUUUCGAAAAACAAUUAACACAUCACGACAACUUCAUAUUUAAUUGUGGAUCUAAAUACUUCUUGAAUCAUUUAGACCUCACUAACCUUUAUCAGUGCUUUCAGAAGCUGGACUGGCUUUAUCAUUGCUUUCACAUUUGCCUUCUUUAAAGAUGUUGCCUGGUCUGUAAACAUAGAAUUAUCUAGCAUCAGUACCAUUAUAAUUGUAACUAACAAAUAGCAAAAACUAGAUCCUGUUACAAAAAAUCGAUACUAUUAUUUAAGUACAUAUUUACUUAUAUAUUUUACUUAUAUAUAAUCUAUUAUAUAAAAAAUCUAUCAUGAAUAACAAAAACUAAAGAAACUUCCAUAUUUGACGGUUUAUACAAUCUAGGCAAAUCUAGAUCCUGUUACAAAAAAUCGAUACUAUUAUUUAAGUACAUAUUUACUUAUAUAUUUUACUUAUAUAUAAUCUAUUAUAUAAAAAAUCUAUCAUGAAUAACAAAAACUAAAGAAACUUCCAUAUUUGACGGUUUAUACAAUCUAGGCAAAUCUAAAUCGUUGGGUGUAUCUUGAAAAAUGUAAACUGUAUCCUUUUGUAAUAAUUAGCAAUGAUUUGCAUCAGUCUUUUCAAAUUUUUAUAUUUUAUAUAUUCUAUUAACGAUUCAGUUUCCUUUUCUUUUUAUUUUAAUCCUUUGCGUCUCUUAACCAAUAUAUCUAUAUCUAUAUAUAUGCGUUGAGAGAUUUUAGAUUUACAGAGAUAUCUUCCCAGUUGAAAGCAAAACAAAAUCUUUUAGAAACUAUGGAGAAAAUGCACCUUCUCUCUGAUUUGCGAAGACAUUCCACAAAGUGGAGGGUUUGUGUUAAGAUAAUGAGUAUCUGGCAUCAUAAUCCUCCUUUCAAUGGUGAUCUAACUACAAUGAUUCUCGCAGAUGAGAAGGUUUGUUUCUAAUUCUAUUGUUCUGUUUUACACCUUUUUAAAAUCAUGUUCUAGGGUUGAAAAACUACUUAUCUAAUUUGUUUCUUUCCUUUGUAUAGGGGAAUUUAAUGGACGCAACAAUUCCACAAGGUUACUACCUCUGGAACUUUCAGCGAGGACUCAAACAAGACGUUUGGUACUACAUGACUGACUUUCAAGUCAUCAUACCUAAAAACCAAGUCAGAUAUUCAACUAUGCCACUUCAGGUUAAGUUUUUGAGUGGAACUACCAUGUGGCCUGUUAGAUCUAAGUCUUGGAACAAUUACUGGAACUUUGUUUGGCCUGAUACUGUCAUAAAUGCUCAUGAAGAUGAUAAAAACUCUGUCUUUGGUAAUAAUUUGUGAAAUUAAAUGUUUUAUACCAAGAUUUAUUAUAUAUGAAGACUUAUAUGACCAUUUUCCUUUAAUUUUUACUUAGAUGCUAUGGGAGUUAUCUCUGCUGUUUCCACCAUAGGAAGGUUUCCAUAUGUGUGUCGCAGAGGAGAAACAGACUAUGAAUCUCGCUAUGUCUGCUUCAAAAUUAAAAAUAAUGUGUAAGUUUAGUUUACCCUCUAUAACAGAAUUUCAAUGGUUGUUCUUAAAUUACUUUAAGAAAUUGGAUUGACUGUUCUUUUGUUUGGAAAUUAAACUUUUAAUCUAGGGGGGAGACAAUAAAAUGCGUAGCUGUGGGAAAGUGGUGUGAGUUCUUUGUGAACACUUGGUCUCAGAAAAUAAGCGGAAUAAACUACAACUAUGAUAAGAUUGUUGCAGUCUUGCGUUUCUGGAGAAUAACUUCUUACUGUGGUUGGUUCUUAUUAUAGUUUUAUGAACUGACUUUACAAUUUUAUUAGUUACAUUGACUGAAUCUUUUUUUUUUCCUAUAGGAAACAAUGUUUUAAUGAGUGAAUAUGGCUGUUCACGUCUAUACAUUGAUCCAAUCUUUUAUGAACUUGACAUUCCAAGUUAUCUGUAAGUUAAAAAUUCUCUUAUAAUUGGCUUAUAUUUUGGUUGAGAUUCAUAGCCUAGGUAAACAUAAAGCAUAUGUUUUUUUGCAGGCGAUCAUUCGACGAUGGAUCAAGUGACGAAGAGGAUGUGAUGAUGGAGAUGGUUGAUGAGAACUAACAUGUGAAGGAAGGAGGGAUUGGAUUUGCAAGGUUACUUCAGUUUCUCUUAGUUUAUGUUGUUUCUUUUUACAUUUUUAGAGGAGAUGAACUCUGUCUUUUUAAAAACUUCCUUGGAGGUAUGGAAAACUCCUUUUGUAAUCGACUUAAACCUACCCUAUUUGUUUCUUUUGUAUUUAAUCUCUAUUUUACUCUGUUUUCCAUAAAAAGUUUAAUUAGUAUAUUCCCUAAAUUUAAGUAAGUUUUCUAAAAACUAUAUUGUACUCAUAAUUGUUAAGCUACGCAAUAUCAAUAUUUAAAAGUAUAGAUUGACAACUAUAUGUUUUAUAUAACAACUCUACAAUUUCAGAAAGAGAUUACAUAAUCUAACCUUUAAAAUAGCUUCCAGAUUCCGUUAUGGCUACUAAAGGACAUCAAAUUUGUCUUCUCAGAUUGAAAUCAACUCGAAUAUUUUGCUUUCUCUGUAAACAUUGUAUUUGGUAAAAUCAGAACCAUAUAUAUUAAGACAUUGUUUUGUUAUGUAAGAGCUGUAAUAGAAAGCUUAACUUUGUAAAUCGUCUUCCUCAGACAAAAUCAUCAUCCAAUCAUUAUCUAAAAUCAAUUUAGGAACAAAUUAAAUAUUAGGAAACAAAAUCUAUUGCCUAAAUCUAUACAAAAUCAAAUUAUAGCCUCUUUUCACUCCAACGCAUAGAAGAUUUUGAUAAUAGAUAGAGUUACCCGAAUAAACACAAAAAUUAUAGACAUGCAAUUACGGAUCUAAACAACAAAUAUAAUUGAAAAUACUUACUCAUGCAAGUUCGUAUACCCACAGUAAUAGCCCAAGAUCU